UUAAUUAAUAACUUCUUCAUAUGGCUCUCAUCAGCAAUGACUGCUACAUUCCAUCCCUCAUAAGGAACCUUGAUGUAAUUCAAGGUUCAAAAUUAGGAAAUUGGCUUUUCAGAAAACCGUAUUCCUCCCAUGUAGCUUCUUCAGGAGCCAAAUUUGCCCAUUGCACCAACACUUCUACCACUGCCUUGUUCUUCUUUUUGACCAUCCUCCUUUCUAAAAUCUUCAAUAGCUCAGUUAGAAUCUGGCCAUCGUUAGUGCAGUAAGGCGGAUCUUGGGUGGCAAAAGUCUUCUCCCCAAUUUUCUUUUUCAAUUGUGAAACGUUGAACACAGGAUGUAUCUUUGAUCCCAAUGGCAAGCGGAGUUCGUAGGCAACUGAAUCAAUCUUUCUGAUUACUUCAUAAGGACCGAAAUAACGAGCUGAGAGCUUCAAAUAUUUCCUCAUUGCCACAGAGGUUUGCCGAUAAGGUUGUAAUUUCAAGAACACCCAAUCUCCUACAGUAAAGUUUCUCUCUUUUCUUCUUCCAUCAGCAUAAUUCUUCAUCCUUGCUUGUGCCUUUGUGAGAUUAUCAUGGAGGACCUUGGAAAUCAAUUGCCUUUCUCUUAAGACCAAGUCUGCAGAUUCAAGCUUUGUUUGGGCCACCAGCUCGAAUGUGGGUUGGGGGGAUCAUACCCAUAUAGAGCCUUGAAGGGCGUCAUACCAAUUGCUGAGUGAAAAUUCGAAUUGUACCAAAAUUCAGCCAGUGCCAACCAUUUGCCCCACUCAGAAGGUUAUGACCCGUCAUGCAUCUAAGGUAUGUCUCCAGGCAUCGGUUCAACCUUUCUGAUUGGCCAUCCGUUUGCGGAUGAUAAGCAGUACUUGGUUUUAAUUGUACAUGUAACCCCUUGAAUAGCUCCUUCCAGAAAGUGCUAACAAAAAUUAGAUCUCUGUCUGAAACAAUUGAGCAUGGCAUCCCAUGUAACUUGCAUAUAUUAUCUAAGAACACUUGAGAAACUUGAUUAGCUGUGUAAGGAUGAGCGAGGGCAAAAAAAUGAGCAAACUUUGUGUAUCUAUCUAUUACCACAAGUAUUGAAUCUUUACCAUUGGAUUUAGGCAAACCACUAAUGAAGUCCAUUGCAACAUGUUUCCAGGCUCACGGAGGUAUUGCCAGUGGUUGGAGAAGGUCAGGGUAAGCAACACUCUCCCCCUUAUUUCUCUAGCAGGUCUCACAUUCCUUGACAUAAUUCUUGACAUCCUGUAAUAAAGUAGGCCAAUAGAAUAAGUUUUUAAGCCUCUAUUGUGUAGCAUGUAUUCCAGAGUGACCUCCCUAGGGUGAUAAAUGUAUCUCCUUAAUUAACUUUUGCCGGAGCUCACCAUGAUUUCCCACCCAAGCUCUUCUAUUUUGCCUGACAAUACCAUCUCUGAUCUGCACCCCUGGAACUGCAUUAGGAUCUACAGAUAACUGAGUGGAAAUGUCUUGAACAAAUGCAUCAUUUUGAUAACUUUCUAAAACAUCUUCAGCCUAUUUCGGUUGAACAAAUGUGAGUCCGGCACAAUCACCCUCAUCAUACUUCCUUGAGAGUGCAUCUGCGGCUACAUUUUCAGCCCCUUUUCGAUAAUGAAUCUCAUAACUAAGACCCAAUAGCUUAGUGACUCCCUUGUGCUACAAUGAGGUGGUCAACUUCUGAUCUUUGAGGAAUUUAAGGCUAAAAUGGUCUGUCUUGAUGAUAAAAUGAUUAGGUUGUAGAUAAUGUCACCACUUAUCGACAACAUACAAUAGUGCAAUUAGCUCCUUUUCAUAUGUUGAAAGCCCCAUGUGCCUUGAGCUUAGUGCUUGACUAAUAAAGGCAAUGGGCCUCCCAUUUUGCAUUAAAACUGCCUCUAUUCCCUUUCCACUAGCAUCUACUUCCAUAAUGAAAGGUAUUGCAAAAUUUGGUAGGGCUAAUACUGGGCCUUGGACCAUGGCUUGCUUCAGCUCUUCAAAGGCUUGGGUUGCUUCCAUGGACCAGCUAAAAUUUCCUUUUUUUAAUAGGCUAGUCAAGGGCUUACUAAUUGUAGCAAAAUUUCCGAUAAACCUUCUAUAGUAGCCUCUAAGGCCCAAGAAUUCCCUCAAUUCCUUGACUGAUUUGGGCUGGGUCCAAUCUAGCAUAGCUUUGAUUUUAGACUCAUCAAUACUCAUCCCGUGUUUUGAAAUGACAUGGCCCAGAUAUUCCAUUUUGUCUUGGCCGAAACUGCAUUUUGACUUCUUGAUCAAAAGUUGGUUUGCUUUCAACAACUCGAACACCAUUUGUAAAUGCUUCAUGUGCUCUGCCAUUGACCCACUGUAAACCAGAAUGUCAUAAAAAAAUACAAGCACAAAUUGCCUCAAAUAAGGCCCAAAGAUCUAGUUCAUAAGUGCUUGAAAGGUGGCUGGGGCAUUCGUCAACCCAAAAGGCAUGACUUUAAAUUCUCAUAGCCCAUGAUUUGUGCGAAAAGUUGUUUUGUAUUCAUCACCUUUCUUCAUACGAAUUUGAUGAUAAUCGGACCUUAAAUCUAACUUAGUGUAAAUUCUUGACCCAUGUAGCUCAUCAAAUAAGUCUUCAACAACUGGUAUGGGAUAUUUAUUCUUAACAGUGGCCUCAUUUCAACUUGCGAUAAUCCACGCACAUACGCCAACUAGAAUCCUUCUUUUUAACCAAAAGGACAGGUGAGGCAAAUGGUGAAAUACUUCUGGCAACUGUUUGGGCCUUCAACAUUUCCGCUACGAUCUCUUCAAUGGCAUCCUUCUGCUCAAACGAAUAUCGAUAAGGCCUCAAAUUUAUGGGCUCAGCUCCUGGAACUAGCUCUAUGGCAUGGUCACAAUCACGACUAGGAGUCAAACUUUUGGGCUCUUGGAACAAGCCCUCGAACUAGCCCAACAACUUGCUCACUGCUUGGGGAAUUACCUGAUCAUUUUCUGUUAAGUUCAUCAAGAACAUUUGAGCCACAAAGUUACAUUGUCCUUUGCCGAGUAAUUUGGAAAUAACUUUAGUAUCCACCUUAGAAACCUUCCCAUCAUCUGGACAACCCCUUAAUGUAAUUAUUUCUGAUUCGUAAAUGAACGAGACACUCAAUGGCUUUGUGUGCAACACUAUUGGUGCAACAUUGUCGACCCAAUCCAUUCCCAGAACAAUGUCACAACCCCCUACUUUCAGCAAUCCAAUGUCAAGAUGAAUUUCUUGUCUUGCAUUUUCCAUUCGAAUUUCCUGCACACAUGCUUGCAUUUGAGGUAUUGGACAUUGGCCACUUUAACCUUCAUGGGUCUGCCCAAUUCUUCUACCCCACCUGAAUUGGACUUCACUGUUAUGGGAUCUACGAAACUAUGGGUUGACCCACUAUCCAACAAUACUACAACCUUUUGGCCCUUAACCCAUCCAGUAAUUCUAAUUGUUGAAGGGGCCUUGCUCCGACCCAUUAUAGCAUUUAAGGUUACUUCAGCUUGUUCCUGGCCCUGUUCCACCACAACCCCUCCCUCUUGUUCCUCCAAUCCAUCUACUGCAUCAACAAACUCCUCAGCUUCCAUGACAUUAAGAGUUUUAUUCUUACAAACAUGUCCAGGAAAAUAAGUGUCAUGGCAUUUAUAGCAUAGAUUCCUCUCCUUCAACAUUUCUAGAGUCAUAUUCUUUGAAUUUGGAUUACGGGUGUUCACAAUAGGUGGGUUCUUGGGUAGAGUGGGCUUGGGUAAUAUGGGCUUAUAGCUGGACUGAGAGUUUCUGUGAUAGGAUUUAGCUGACCAUUGUUUAUCCAUUUGCUUAUAAAAUACAUUGAAGGCUCUCUCAUGCAACUUAGCACACUUGUAAGCUGCCAACAAAGUUCUGGGCCGAGCAAACUGUACAAGUGGUAAUAUGUCCGGUUUACGCCCACCGAUAAAGCAAGACACAAAAUGGGGUUCUUUUAAUGCAGGAUUAAGGAUCACCAUUAAGCUUUUUAACUCAUCGAAUCACCUCUGGUAAGUCUCCACAUCAGUGGUUUGUUCAAGACGAUUGAAUUAUUUAACAAUCUCCACCGGAUCAUUAUCACCAAAAUGUUCACAUAUAUCGUAACAAAAUUGGGCCCAAGAUAUAGUACCAUCAUGAUCAGCUAAAUACCCAUCAAACCAAUGGUUCACAAAAUCUUUAAAUGAAUAGUCACAUAAUCAAUUUUUUCAUCAUCCGUCACUUGGUAUAAAUCAAAAAACUUUUGACAUCUUCUCAACCAACUCCUAGGAUUUAUUUCAUCAAACUCCGGAAAUAAUAACUUGGCUUUAGGUAGUUUGGAUGUGGAUCCAUGAGAGUCAGGCCUGUUUUGAUUCUGAGAAGUGCCAACGAGUGGGAUCUGGUGAAAAGUUCCAAAUGUAAUGGAUAAGGACUGUGCUAUUGUGUUUGUCACGGGCUGAGUUAUCGGACAAGUCGAAUAUGGCUUAGAGAGGUUAAUACUUUGGGUAACUGUAAAAUGAUAUGAUUGGGGUAAAAAUGGUUGUGUGAUUAUUGGGUAAGGAUUUGACUGGGGAACUAGUGGUUGAGAGGCCAUUUGAUAUGAAUAAGUUGGUGAGUUGCUUGGCUGGUUGUUUAUAGGGUAAGAGGUUCUUGGUGGAAUAUAGGUUCUGGUAGUUAAAGGAUAAGAGUGAGAGGGUGGUCUGAAGGCUGCAGCUGAAGGGUUCAAGGAAAUUCUAGUAAUGUUUUCAGCUUGGGAUCGUGAAUUAGCUGAGACACUUCCUAGCUGGGGUGGUGAGGAUAACGGUACUGCUCGAAGCCCUGUGGUAAUGGAAGGUGAAAUUGGAGGAGUGUAGCUCUGUAAAUUACCUCCAACCGUCGAGAGGCUUGCUUCCAAAAAAGGUCUGUCAUAGAUUCCAGCGACAGAAGACCGAACUGAUGAAGAGUGUUCCGCCUUGUUGUGACCGCUCAUUUGCACCAACAUCUCCUCAAUCCUUUCAAUCCGCUUCGACGAGUCAGAAAACUCCACCAUCUUAGCUUCAAAACUCCCUUGCUUCUCCUCUAGUUUAUCCAUCCUCUGUUCCGAUUUUUCCAUGAAAACUUGUAGCUGAACUUUAACCCUUCUAAGUUCGUCAUCGUCGGACUGAUUUUUGUGUUUAUCCACCAUCCUAGAAUUGCCAGGAUCUAGCUCUGGAUACCAAUUUGUAGCGGUCUGCUACUAUGAAGAUUUAAGAGAAAGAUAAUGAAACAAUAAAUGAAGGAAAAAGAAUUUAAAAUGUCAAUUUUGUCAUAUCUAGAUACCUUUCUGAAUACAAGGACCGACAAUAUAUGCCUAACGAAAGAAGAAAAUGACAGCUUAUUUUGUGUAACAAACCAAUUAACAAAAUGACACAUGUCUUGCUUCUAGAAACUAGGAGGACUUAAUUGAAAAAGUAAAUACUACUUGACUAGAAUAGAAAUAUUUAAACUGGAUAGACUUAAUUAGUAACUCCUUCAUGUGGCUCUCAUCAGCAAUGACUGCUGCAUUCUCGUCCCGAUUUUGGUUCUGAAAUUUGUUAUUCCUUCGUUAUCUGAGUUUAAACUACUGAUUUGAAUUGAAAUCGAAGUAGUAAGACUGAAUUUGAGGGAUUCUAGGUCACAACUUUGAAAACCCGUCGCUCGAAGAAGCUGGGUCGUUUGAAAAUUAGGGCUUCAAACUCGAUUGGGUGUUUGUGAUUACAGUUGGAAACAUCAUUUUGAAGCUGAUUGUGUAGGAUUCGUUCGAUUGAAAUUGAUUCAAUAAGGUUUUGGUUCAAAUUUGCGAAGCGGGUUGACGUAGAAGACGACCUAUGGUUCGUCCUUUUCGGGAGUGUUUGAAAAAAUUGAUUUGGGGGGUUUUGUUCUAAUUUGUGUUGAGAGGUGUUAUCUGUAGCUUGGGUUCGUUUGCGACUGAAUUCGAUUUGGUUUGGUCGAAAAAUUUUGGAAGUCUGUUUGAAGAAGACGAGCAGGGCAUCGUCGAUUUUCUGGUUGCUUGUUACAAAUUUGGUUACUGGGGUUUGAACUUAAGGCUGUUGGGAAGUCAUAGCUGAAAUUGUAGCUCAUUUGGUGGAGGAUUGAGCGAGAAUCAAAUUUUCCUACCAUUGAAGAACUCGAAGAACACCAGCUGCGAAUUCGAAGAACUUCGCAAACUGAUUCGAAUCAAUUCAAGCAGCUGAGAAAUCGUCGCACGAAUCAGCUAGUUUGCUGCUGCAUUUCAAGUUUGAAGAUUGGACAAUUGCAGCUGAAUCUGUCUGCAUUGCUAUUGCUAUAAGAAUUCUACUCUUUUGAGCUGCUGAAAAUAACCGAUUUGAGCAGUAAACUGAGCUGAAAACUUGCAGUAUUUUGGACAAUUGUCUGGACUGUUAGGAUGCUGAAAAAUCUGUUAUGUUUUUGCACUGUUUAAGCAGCAGAUCUGCACAGUUUUGAGUGCAAAUUCUGCACUGUUUGGGCAUCAGUUGUGCACUGGUUUUGUUCCUGAUACACCAAGUUUUUUUUCUAGUAUCAUUUGCACAAGUUUUUAGCAGACUGUUUCUGCAGGAAAAGAACUCAGUUAGACAGUAAUUGGACAGCAAUUUCUGGACUAUUCAGCUGCAAGUUUCAGCACUGCUUUUGCACUAUUUUGGCUGCUGAAUAUCUGCAAGUUUUGGACAACAUUUGGGGCUGCAUUUGGUUGACUGAAAACUCAGAUUGUUCUUUGGUUGAAGUCUGCAAUUGGCAUCAUUAAUGCAGCAAUGCUAGCACCAAUUAGCUGCAAUCUUGGAGAUGUUAUUUCUGCAUUACAAAACCUGGAAUUUCUACAUUAUAGAAGCUUGAGUUUGGUUUGCUGCUAGUCGAGGGGGAAUUUGCUGAAGAAGUGAGACAACGAUACACCGAUUCAAUUGCUUCUCCUGUUGUCUUGUGCUUAGAUUGGUUUGGUUUCAGUUGGGUUCUACGGUUUAAUAUUUCUACACAGUUGGUUUGCUCAAAAGGAUUACCGACAGCCUUAAACUUUUUCAGCGUUCGUGAAUCUGUCCAGAAUUACCGAUUUGACCAUCCUUUGCAAAUUUGGCUAGUUUUACAAAUCUGUCCACAUUUUUGCAAAUAUGACCAAAAUUUGAAAGUGUCUAAUUUUGUAGUUUCUUUUCUUUUUUCCGUUUUGUAGUUUACUAAACUCUUAACUAGAUUAACUUGAUAUUAGUUCAUAUUGAGUUUAUUUCUAGUUUCUUUGUGUGCUUUGUUUAUUUCGUGCCAAUUUUUCGUGCUUUUCUCUUUUAAUUUCGUUGUGAUUUGUUUGGCUCAAGUCCGUUAGCUUUUAGUUGUGUUUUCUUUGGUGUCACAUACAUUCCAUUCUGAACCGAUACUUGAUUGCCUACUUGGAUUGAUUUGAGAAUGUUGGUUGUGAAGAGAACUUUUAGAUAACCUUGUGUAAAAAGAGGCUUGAAUGGUGAGUUCAAUUGAGCGAGGUUGCAAAAGCCUUUGACCUUUGAGUGUAAACACGAGUGUUGAGUGACAUAUAUAUAUUGAGUGAAACACUAAGGGAGUGAAUUGUGAGGUCCUAUUUUUGAUUAACCAAC
rnacentral:lncRNA from 1 species